rnacentral:ncRNA from 1 species
GUGUUGUAUGAAAGGAGAGAAGGUUAGCACUGCCCUUGACAAGAAUGGAAGGGGCCCUUGGGCCUGACAACACGCAUACGGUUAAGGCAUUGCCAUCUACUUAAAUUAAUGCUUUAA